GAUGAACGCUGGCGGCGUGCCUAACACAUGCAAGUCGAGCGGCAGCGCGAGUAGUUUACUACUUGGCGGCGAGCGGCGAACGGCUGAGUAACGCGUGGGAAUUUGCCCCAAAGUGAGGAAUAACUGCCCGAAAGGGUGGCUAAUGCCGCAUAUGAUCUUCGGAUUAAAGGAUUUAUCCGCUUUGGGAGAAGCCCGCGUCGGAUUAGGUAGUUGGUGAGGCAAUGGCUCACCAAGCCGACGAUCCGUAGCUGGUCUGAGAGGAUGACCAGCCAGACUGGAACUGAGACACGGUCCAGACUCCUACGGGAGGCAGCAGUGAGGAAUCUUCCACAAUGGGCGAAAGCCUGAUGGAGCAACGCCGCGUGCAGGAUGAAGGCCUUCGGGUUGUAAACUGCUUUUAUGAUUGAGGAAUUUGACAGUAGAUCAUGAAUAAGGAUCGGCUAACUACGUGCCAGCAGCUGCGGUCAUACGUAGGAUCCGAGCGUUAUCCGGAGUGACUGGGCGUAAAGAGUUGCGUAGGCGGUUUGUUAAGUGAAUAGUGAAAUCUGGUGGCUCAACCAUACAGGCUAUUAUUCAAACUGGCAAACUCGAGAGUGGUAGAGGUCACUGGAAUUUCUUGUGUAGGAGUGAAAUCCGUAGAUAUAAGAAGGAACACCGAUGGCGUAGGCAGGUGACUGGACCAUUUCUGACGCUAAGGCACGAAAGCGUGGGGAGCGAACCGG
rnacentral:rRNA from 1 species